UACGUAGGAGGCAAGCGUUGUCCGGAAUUACUGGGCGUAAAGCGCGUGUAGGUGGUGGGACAAGUCUGCUGUGAAAGCGCCUGGCUUAACCGGGCGAGGUCGGCGGAAACUGUCGCACUCGAGGACGGUAGAGGGGGGUGGAAUUCCCGGUGUAGUGGUGAAAUGCGUAGAGAUCGGUAGGAACACCAGUGGCGAAGGCGGUCUCCUGGGGCAUUCUUGACGCUGAGGCGCGAAAGCUGGGGGAGCGAACGGG
rnacentral:rRNA from 1 species